rnacentral:lncRNA from 1 species
UCUGAGCCUGGUUGUUAACAAUACCUCCCUCUCCCAAAUCCACCUUGUCCUCAAGGUGGUAGGUCUUACACAGGUCGAGCCAAGGCUCCCAUGACGUGUCUUCUGGUGGCUCGCCUACCCACUGUGUAAGGACUAACUAAGUGGGUGGAGUCAUUGACUCAUCGAGUUUGGUGUUGAGAAAACAUAGGGGCUUCUGUAGAG